UACGUAGGGACCAAGCGUUGUUCGGAUUUACUGGGCGUAAAGGGCGCGUAGGCGGCUUGUCAAGUCACUUGUGAAAUCUCCGGGCUUAACCCGGAAAGGUCAGCCGAUACUGCGGGGCUAGAGUGCAGAAGGGGCAACUGGAAUUCUCGGUGUAGCGGUGAAAUGCGUAGAUAUCGAGAGGAACACCUGCGGCGAAGGCGGGUUGCUGGGCUGACACUGACGCUGAUGCGCGAAAGCUAGGGGAGCGAACGGG
rnacentral:rRNA from 1 species